rnacentral:rRNA from 1 species
GUUGGGUUAAGUCCCGCAACGAGCGCAACCCCUAUCUUUAGUUGCCAUCAUUGAGUUGGGCACUCUAAAGAGACUGCCGGUGUCAAACCGGAGGAAGGUGGGGAUGACGUCAAGUCCUCAUGGCCUUUAUGACCAGGGCUACACACGUACUACAAUGGCCGGUACAAAGGGCAGCGACACAGCGAUGUGAAAGCCAAUCCCGAAAAGCCGGUCUCAGUCCGGAUUGGAGUCUGCAACUCGACUCCAUGAAGUUGGAAUCGCUAGUAAUCGCGGAUCAGCACGCCGCGGUGAAUACGUUCCCGGGCCUU